GCCUCUAAUGAUGAUUAAAACAAUACUUUCGUUCUUCCGAGAUAUUCUCAUGCGGAAAAACUAUUGGAGACCUGAACUGAAGAGGC
rfam:Spinacia oleracea cultivar SynViroflay scaffold2184.con0003.1, whole genome shotgun sequence.